GAUGAACGCUAGCGAUAGGCUUAACACAUGCAAGUCGAGGGGCAGCACAAGGUAGCUUGCUAUCUGGGUGGCGACCGGCGCAUGGGUGCGUAACGCGUAUGCAACUUGCCCUAUACAGGAGGAUAACCCGUCGAAAGACGGACUAAUACUGCGUAUGCUCACAACUUGGCAUCAAGUGGUGAGGAAAGAAAUUCGGUAUAGGAUAGGCAUGCGUCCCAUUAGCUUGUUGGUGAGGUAACGGCUCACCAAGGCAACGAUGGGUAGGGGAACUGAGAGGUUUAUCCCCCACACUGGUACUGAGACACGGACCAGACUCCUACGGGAGGCAGCAGUGAGGAAUAUUGGUCAAUGGGCGCGAGCCUGAACCAGCCAAGUCGCGUGAAGGAUGACUGUCUUAUGGAUUGUAAACUUCUUUUAUACGGGAAUAACAAGAGUCACGGGUGACUCCCUGCAUGUACCGUAUGAAUAAGCAUCGGCUAACUCCGUG
rnacentral:rRNA from 1 species